GACGGUAAGGUAUUGGCUUACCGUGGCAGUGACGGUUAACGGGGAAUUAGGGUUCAAUUCCGGAGAGGGAGCCUGAGAAACGGCUACCACAUCUAAGGAAGGCAGCAGGCGCGCAAAUUACCCAAUUCUAACAGCAUAAGAGAGGUAGUGACAAGAAAUAACAGUACAAGGCAGUUAAAAUGCUUUGUAAUUGGAAUGAUAGAAAUUUAAAUACUUUUUAAAGUAUCAAUUGGAGGGCAAGUCUGGUGCCAGCAGCCGCGGUAAUUCCAGCUCCAAUAGCGUAUAUUAAAAUUGUUGCAGUUAAAAAGCUCGUAGUURAAUUUUUGCUAAAAAUAACCGGUCUGCUUUUAUUAAUAAAAGUGGUAUCUUGGUGUGUUUUUAGCAAUAAUGUCCUUUGAAAUGUUUUUUACUUUAUUGUAAAAAGCAAUUUUCAGGAUUUUUACUUUGAGAAAAUUAGAGUGUUUCAAGCAGGCUAACGUUUUGAAUACUGCAGCAUGGAAUAAUAAAAUAGGAUUUUAGUUCUACGUUAUUGGUUUUAAGAACUAAAUUAAUGAUURAUAGGAGCAGUUGGGGGCAUUUGUAUUUAACUGUCAGA
rnacentral:rRNA from 1 species